GAUGAACGCUAGCGACAGGCCUAACACAUGCAAGUCGAGGGGCAGCAUAAAGGUAGCAAUACUUUGGUGGCGACCGGCGCACGGGUGAGUAACACGUAUGCAACCUACCUGUAAGAGGGGAAUAACCCGGAGAAAUUCGGACUAAUACCGCAUAAUACUGAUUAUCUGCAUGGAUUGAUCAGUUAAACAUUUAUGGCUUACAGAUGGGCAUGCGUAUGAUUAGAUAGUUGGUAGGGUAACGGCCUACCAAGUCAACGAUCAUUAGGGGUUCUGAGAGGAAGGUCCCCCACACUGGUACUGAGACACGGACCAGACUCCUACGGGAGGCAGCAGUGAGGAAUAUUGGUCAAUGGGCGAGAGCCUGAACCAGCCAAGUCGCGUGAAGGAAGAAGGUUCUAUGGAUUGUAAACUUCUUUUGUAAGGGAAUAAAAAGAGUUACGUGUAACUUAUUGUAUGUACUUUACGAAUAAGGAUCGGCUAACUCCGUG
rnacentral:rRNA from 2 species